rnacentral:lncRNA from 1 species
CUAGCUCAGACUAUUUUCGCCACAAGGAGUCAUGGUGCAGGGAGAUCUGCUGUCCGCCGCCAUGACUAGGCAUGCACACGCUGUCGUACGGACCUGGCAAGGGCAGUAGGGUAUUCGCUGGUAGUCGGGGAUGGUGCGCGUUGCAUCAUCAGGCAAAGCGCGACGAUCUCGGUUGAUGAAUUCCUCACCGGGAUGGAGCUCCACCGCAGGUCUGUCGCGUGUCGUGGCCAUGGCAUUAGCGCUGCUAGAAUCACAGUGAGCAACCCUUCAACAGUAUGGUAUCGUUACCCUCUAUGUGAUUACUUUCUUUGAUUGGAGUUCGAACAUGGAAGUCAAGCUUGUUUAGAGGUCAGCCAUGGCGCCUCCAUGGGCACUCUGUGCCGCCGUGUGCGGAGUUGGGGAAGAGAGAGUUGAGGGUGAUGUGGUAGAGGAGCGUUGACCAUGGGAUCUUGAUCCUGUGAUCAGGACUGGGUACCAGUUCGUGGGGGGAUCCUGGGCAUUGAAGUUUAAUCUAGCGGACAGGAUGGGUGAGGGAGCUAUACGGAUCGUGGUCAUUGGAUCCUGGAUGAAGAGUGCAGAUGAGAUCCCAGGUUAACCGUUCGACUUUUUAAUCUGGGCGGUCGGGUUUAGAUCCGACGGUUGAGAUGUGCCCAUACCUCUUCGACCUGGCAAAAUCACUAAAGAUACCCUGGACUUUAUAAUAACUAACCCGCCAUCCAGUCCAAUUGGGAAGUAAUUACAGAUAGAUACGAUUUUAUUCAAAAUAGACCCUGCCCAAUAGAACCCACAGUACAUAUAAGCUUUGAAAUUUAUAAAAUAAAUCUGAAAUUGAUUUUUAAUAAAAAAAUAAUUCCAGAACCUUGUAUAAUUCAUAUUUAAUUAAUUUUAACUCCAAAUUGAUUCAUUCCAGUGGCAUUAAUUUUGUUUUAAUGUUGUUUAUCACCAAGUGACUCUGUUUAGCCAUGAAAUUUGGAUUAAAAUUAUUCACUUGAAUUUAGUCUAUACUAAGCACUAGAAACUUAAAAAAUCAUAACUCGAUAACCGUAACUCCGAAUUUAGCGAUUCUUGUUCCUUUGAUCUUGUUACAACAUGUAGAAUAUUCUUACGAAUUUUGUUCUUAUGCUUGGUGUAAUGUUAAUUUUGCCUAUGCCAUGUUUGUUUGUAUUUCUACGACUAGCGCGAGGUUACGAGCCACCUGAAGAGCAAGUUGGUACCUGGAAUCUCAAUUCCCAGGCAAGUUGUGCCCUUGAUCACUUCUUUUUACCCAAU